UUUUCCUUUCAAGCCGUCGCGCGUGCUUACAAAGUCGAGCGGAACGAGUUAUCUGAACCUUCGGGGAACGAUAAGGGCGUCGAGCGGCGGACGGGUGAGUAAUGCCUAGGAAAUUGCCCUGAUGUGGGGGAUAACCAUUGGAAACGAUGGCUAAUACCGCAUGAUGCCUACGGGCCAAAGAGGGGGACCUUCGGGCCUCUCGCGUCAGGAUAUGCCUAGGUGGGAUUAGCUAGUUGGUGAGGUAAUGGCUCACCAAGGCGACGAUCCCUAGCUGGUCUGAGAGGAUGAUCAGCCACACUGGAACUGAGACACGGUCCAGACUCCUACGGGAGGCAGCAGUGGGGAAUAUUGCACAAUGGGCGCAAGCCUGAUGCAGCCAUGCCGCGUGUGUGAAGAAGGCCUUCGGGUUGUAAAGCACUUUCAGUCGUGAGGAAGGUGGUGGUGUUAAUAGCUGUAUCAUUUGACGUUAGCGACAGAAGAAGCACCGGCUAACUCCGUGCCAGCAGCCGCGGUAAUACGGAGGGUGCGAGCGUUAAUCGGAAUUACUGGGCGUAAAGCGCAUGCAGGUGGUUUGUUAAGUCAGAUGUGAAAGCCCGGGGCUCAACCUCGGAAUAGCAUUUGAAACUGGCAGACUAGAGUACUGUAGAGGGGGGUAGAAUUUCAGGUGUAGCGGUGAAAUGCGUAGAGAUCUGAAGGAAUACCGGUGGCGAAGGCGGCCCCCUGACAGAUACUGACACUCAGAUGCGAAAGCGUGGGGAGCAAACAGGAUUAGAUACCCUGUAGUCCACGCCGUAAACGAUGUCUACUUGGAGGUUGUGGCCUUUGAGCCGUGCUUUCGGAGCUAACGCGUUAAGUAGACCGCCUGGGGAGUACGGUCGCAAGAUUAAAACUCAAAUGAAAUUGACGGGGCCCGCACAAGCGUGCAGCAUGUGUUAUUUCGAUGCAACGCGAAGAACCUUACCUACUCUUGACAUCCAGGAGACUUCCAGAGAUGAUUGGUGCCAUUCGGGAACUCUGAGACAGUGCUGCAUGCUGUCGUCAGCCUCGUGUUUGUGCAAAUGUUGGUUAGUCCCGCUACGAGCCGCAGCCUUAUCUUGUUUGGCAAGCGAUAUGUCGAACUCCAGUGAACUGCCGGUGGAAACCUGGAGA
rnacentral:rRNA from 1 species